GACGAACGCUGGCGGCGUGCUUAACACAUGCAAGUCGAACGCUUAACCCUGCUUCGGAGGGUGGAUGAGUGGCGUACGGGUGAGUAACCCGUGGGUCAUCAGUCCUGCACCCGAGGAGAACGUCGGGUAAGCGGGGCUAAUCGUGGAUGGGCCCACGGCUCUCGCAUGGGGGUGCUUGGACAGCGGUUAGGGUGGUGCUGGGUGUGGCCGCGGCCUAUCAGCUGGUUGGUGGGGUAAGGGCCUACCAAGGCGACGACGGGUAGCCGGCCUGAGAGGGUGAUCUGCCACACUGGGACUGAGACACGGCCCAGACUCCUACGGGAGGCAGCAGUGGGGAAUUUGGCGCAAUGGGCGGAAGCCUGACGCAGCAACGCCGCGUGGGGGAGGACGGCCUUCGGGUUGUAAACCUCUUUCGGUUCUGACGAAGCUCUGCGUGUUCGUGGGGUGACGGUAGGGGCAGAAGAAGCACCGGCUAACUACGUGCCAGCCGCCGCAGUAAUAC
rnacentral:rRNA from 1 species